rnacentral:tRNA from 1 species
UCCCUGGUGGCUCAGCAGUAGAGAAUCUACCUGCAAAGCAGGAGACCUGGGUUCAAUCCCUGGGUUGGGAA